GGCCCGGUAGCUCAGUGGAUAGAGCGGCGGCUUACUAAGCCGCGCGUCGAGGGUUCGAAACCCUCCCGGGCCA
rnacentral:tRNA from 1 species